UUGUGUGUGACAGGAAGGAAACUUGUUAAUACUGCUGUCUCAGUCUUUAGCUAUUUCUGCUGUUGCUGCAGAGGCAGAGAGAUGGUGAAAGAAUCAACCUCAGGAAAUAGUAUGGAGGUCAAGGGUCAGCUAAGAGGAUCUACUGAUUUUCUGAUCUGCGGAGCUUUCUGAGAGGAAAAAACUCCCAAGACUCCUAGAAAGUGAGCAUGAGCUGCUAUAGUUUGAAUGUAACCUCUUCAAAAUUCAGAAGAAGCAACAAGAAGAAAGUGUCUUGACUAAUCCUUCUAGUGAAAGAUAUUCACUUUUAUAAUAAGGUGCUUGUCUACACAGAGGUUUCUGAGUCAAAGGAGGAGAACGUACAAAAUAGACCGAAAGAAGAGCCUGCCUAGCUGCUCUUUUUCUUUUGUAAUUACCAAGAUCCCGACGGUUUAUACCCACUCAACUGCAGGUGCUGGGAGAGGAGAGGCUACUGUGACAAAAAUUAUAUAAAGAAGAGCCCAGCAGAUGCAUUU
ensembl:lncRNA novel transcript, antisense to ANKS1B